UUCUUGGUGCCUGAAACCAGCUGCAG
rnacentral:piRNA from 1 species